AAAUUCCUGAUGCUGAGUCCGAAUCUCCUUCCUUGUAACUUGAAUCCAUUGAUUCGGGUCCUACCCUCCAGAACAGGAGAAAACAUCUUUCAUGUGACGGCCCUUGAGAUAUUUGAAGAUGGCUAUCAUAUCUCCUUUCAACAUCCUCUUUUCCAGACAAAACAUACCCAGCUCCUUCAAUCGUUCCUCAUCAGGCUUGGUUUCUGGACAGA